UACGUAGGGUGCAAGCGUUAAUCGGAAUUACUGGGCGUAAAGCGUGCGCAGGCGGUUAUGUAAGACAGAUGUGAAAUGCCCGGGCUAACCUGGGAACUGCAUUUGUGACUGCAUGGCUAGAGUUUGGCAGAGGGGGGUAGAAUUCCACGUGUAGCAGUGAAAUGCGUAGAUAUGUGGAGGAACACCGAUGGCGAAGGCAGCCCC
rnacentral:rRNA from 1 species